CGCGUAGGCGGCCUUCUAAGUCGAACGUGAAAUCCCCGGGCUCAACCCGGGAAUUGCGUCCGAUACUGGAGGGCUUGAAUCGGGAGAGGGAUGCGGAAUUCCAGGUGUAGCGGUGAAAUGCGUAGAUAUCUGGAGGAACACCGGUGGCGAAGGCGGCAUCCUGGACCGGCAUUGACGCUGAGGCGCGAAAGCCAGGGGAGCAAACG
rnacentral:rRNA from 1 species